UACGGAGGGUGCAAGCGUUAUCCGGAUUUAUUGGGUUUAAAGGGUGCGUAGGCGGAUUUACAAGUCAGUGGUGAAAUCUCCCAGCUCAACUGGGAAACUGCCAUUGAAACUGUUUAUCUUGAGUACAUUUGAGGCGGGCGGAAUGUGUCAUGUAGAGGUGAAAUUCUUAGAUAUGACACAGAACACCAAUUGCGAAGGCAGCUCGCUAAACUGUAACUGACGCUGAGGCACGAAAGCGUGGGGAUCAAACAGG
rnacentral:rRNA from 1 species